UGGCAGAGCAGUGAUACAAGUCUGUAGUAGGCAUCCCAUAUGGUUAAAUGAACACUCCACAAGUACAGUGAUUGCUUGUCUUCUGAUGUACCUGUACAGCAUCCCCAGGAAGGAGAUACGUGAUUUGGGAGUUGUGAUUCUAGUGGAUUCACGGAAAUGCCAGCCUGUUUCUUCUCUUUUCAAAGCAUUAACAGCAAUGCAGAUAAAACUGUGAUUUGAAAAUGAGCAAGAGAAAUAUCUUGGCUCUUUAGAUCAAGAAGGACUUUCACUGGAAAAAGUGAGAAAGUUGCAAGAAGAUUUCUGGGUUUUGAUUGACAAGGCAAAGCAAUACUAUGGGAAAGGAGUGCAACUGGUGCAAGGCAAUCAUUCAUUAAAUAUGGAAGAAAAAGUUCAAAUCUUUGAGAAAUAACUGAGUAACAUUAUCAUUCAGACAGAGAGGAGGAAGACUGAGCUGACAAAACUAGUCAAUUUGUAUGAGUUUUAUGAGAUGGUAAGAGAAUUGUGUUUGCGUCUAUGCCUUAAGCUAGGCUUCGUUGAAUAUAAGAGGAAUCACGGAGUGACAACAGGCAAACUGGUGUUACAUGGCAGUCCCAUACAGUCUCUUGAAGAAUUAAAAUUAGAAUUUGGACAAAUAAACAGGGUAUUUAACUGUUAUCAUAGAACAGCAAGGAGCAGAUAAUUCAGAGUUCCUGUUGUGGAAUCCCAAAGAAUCAAUUGUGUGACAAGCAGGAGCUGUAUUAAGAGUCAUGUAAAAUUUUCAGCUCAACCGGUUUUCAGCUGAAUUAGACAAACUUUCUCUAAUGGCUGCAUACAGCAUCUCUCCUCUCUGUGCAAGUACACAUGCAGAAUUUUGAGAAACCUGCACCGUGUACUGUUUCUCAUGUUCUAUCUAAAUAUAUGAUCUCCAUGCAUAUAUGCCUUGCUAGCCAGCAAUUUUGGUCA